CCUACGGGAGGCAGCAGUGGGGAAUAUUGGACAAUGGGGGGAACCCUGAUCCAGCCAUGCCGCGUGUGUGAAGAAGGCCCUCGGGUUGUAAAGCACUUUCAGUGAGGAAGAACGCCUGGUGGUUAAUACCCAUCAGGAAAGACAUCACUCACAGAAGAAGCACCGGCUAACUCCGUGCCAGCAGCCGCGGUAAUACGGAGGGUGCGAGCGUUAUUCGGAAUUACUGGGCGUAAAGCGCGCGUAGGUGGCUUGAUAAGCCGGUUGUGAAAGCCCCGGGCUCAACCUGGGAACGGCAUCCGGAACUGUCAAGCUAGAGUGCAGGAGAGGAAGGUAGAAUUCCCGGUGUAGCGGUGAAAUGCGUAGAGAUCGGGAGGAAUACCAGUGGCGAAGGCGGCCUUCUGGACUGACACUGACACUGAGGUGCGAAAGCGUGGGUAGCAAACAGGAUUAGAUACCCGUGUAGUC
rnacentral:rRNA from 1 species